GCAGUGAGCUGAUAUCACACCAACGCACUCCACGCUGGAGAACAGAGCAAGACUUUGACUAAAAAACAAACAAACAAACAAAAAACUGCAUAACAAAAUACCAAAGGCCCUAAUUUCCUUAUAGGCAUAUAAAUAUAAGAAAAAUACACAGACCAAAAUACAUUUGUGAAAAAUUUAUAAAUGAGUUAAGUGUGUACAGUGCCCCAGGAGGUGAGUACAAUGCAAAGAGCCACAAAGAAUAAAGAGAAAAGUCUGUUAUGUUUACCUAACAUAGCUCAUCCCUCUCCCCAAUAUAAUAUAGUGCCUUUAGAAGUGAACACCCAGCCAGGCAGGGUGGCUCAGGCCUGUAAUCCCAACACUUUGGGGUGCCGAGGUGGGCCGAUCACCUGAGGUCAGGAGUUUGGAACCAGCCUGGUCAAUAUGGCGAAACCCCGUCUCUACUAAAAACACAAAAAUUAGCCAGGCAUGGGGGUGGGCACCUGUAGUCCCAGCUACUUGGGAGGCUAAGGCAGGAGAAUCGCUUGAACCUGGGAGGCGGAUGUUGCAGUGAGCCGAGAUCACACCACUGCACUCCAGCCUGGGCAACAGAGCAAGACUCUGUCUUAAACAAAAAAACAAACAAACAACAACAACAACAAAAAAAAAAAAACCCCACCAAAUCUGUUGACAAUGCUAUGAAAAUGAAACUUAUGUUGACUGUUGAUGGAAAACAAGGAUGCAGCCAUUAUUUUAAAAUGUUAUGUUUCACACAUAAUUAAAAAUAGAAUUAUAAUUAAAUACAGCAAUCCCAUUUAUUAAUCUAUAUCCAAAGUAUGCAACACAGGACCUAGAAGAGAUAUGUAACAGCUCAGCCAGGCCCACUUCAGAGCAU
rnacentral:lncRNA from 1 species